rnacentral:rRNA from 1 species
UACGGGGGGCAAGCGUUGUUCGGAAUUACUGGGCGUAAAGGGCGCGUAGGCGGCCCUCUAAGUCAGACGUGAAAUCCCUCGGCUUAACCGGGGAACUGCGUCUGAUACUGGAUGGCUCGAGUGUGGGAGAGGGAUGCGGAAUUCCAGGUGUAGCGGUGAAAUGCGUAGAUAUCUGGAGGAACACCGGUGGCGAAGGCGGCAUCCUGGACCACUACUGACACUGAGGAGCGAAAGCCAGGGAGCAAACGGG